CCAAAGAAGCAUGCACACACCUGGGCGGGCAGGCCUCUGCCGCCGGCAGCCGCCUUGCUCCUGACCACUGCUGGGCCUGGCAUCCUGUGCUGCUCAGAGGGGCUCUGGAGGGUGGUCACAUGCAGUGUCCACGCCCAUGAGCAGGUGAAGACUGGACUGGGCACUCCUUGGGGGACUGGCAUCAGUCCUCAGGGGGUCAGCGUUAGUCCUGGGAAGGCAGUGUCAGUUCUGGGGAGGGUAGCGUCAAUCCUGGGGGAGCAUCAGCCCUUGGGGGGCGGCAUCAGUCCUGGGGACAGUGUCAGUCCUGGGGGGCAGUGUCAGUCCUGGGGGAGCAUCAGCUGUUGGAGGACGGUGUCAGUCCUGGGGAGGGUAGUGUCAAUCCUGGGGGAGCAUCAGCCCUUGGGGGGCGGCAUCAGUCCUGGGGGGUGGCGUCAGCCCUGGGGGGCAGUGUCAGUCCUGGGAGGGCAGCGUCAGUCCUGGGGGAGCAUCAGCCCUUGGGAGGCAGUGUCAGUCCUGGGGACAGUGUCAGUCCUGGGGGGCGGUGUCAGUCCUAGGGGAACAUCAGCCCCUGGGGGACGGCAUCAGUCCUGGAGGGUGGUGUCAGUCCUGGGGGGGCAGUGUCAGUCCUGGGAGGGCGGCAUCAGUCCUGGGGGAGCAUCAGCCCUUGGAGGACAGUGUCAGUCCUGGAUGGUGGUGUCAGUCUUGGGGGGACAGUGUCAGUCCUGGGGGAGCAUCAGCUGUUGGAGGACGGUGUCAGUCCUGGAUGGUGGUGUCAGUCCUGGAUGGUGGUGUCAGUCUUGGGGGGAUGGUGUCAGUCCUAGGGGAGCAUCAGCCCUUGGAGGAUGGUGUCAGUCCUUGAGGGUGGUGUCAGUCCUGGGGGAGCAUCAGCCCUUGGAGGACGGUGUCAGUCCUGGAGGGUGGUGUCAGUCCUGGGGGGGCGGUGUCAGUCCUUGGGGGUGGUCUGGGAGGAAGGGUGAGCCCACCUCUGCCCUCUCCAAGCACUGA
rnacentral:lncRNA from 1 species